AACGAACGCUGGCGGCGUGCUUAACACAUGCAAGUCGAACGAGAAAGCGGGCUUCGGUCCGCUAGUAAAGUGGCAGACGGGUGAGUAACACGUGGGUAACCUGGCCCGGAGGUGGGGGACAACCCUCCGAAGGAGGGCUAAUACCGCAUGAUAUCCCUGAGGCUUCGGCCUUGAGGAUCAAAGCUAGCCUCUACAUGUAAGCUAGCUCCACCGGAGGGGCCCGCGGCCCAUUAGCUAGUUGGGAGGUAACGGCUCACCAAGGCGACGAUGGGUAGCCGGCCUGAGAGGGUGUUCGGCCACACUGGAACUGAGACACGGUCCAGACUCCUACGGGAGCAGCAGUGAGGAAUCUUGCGCAAUGGGCGAAAAGCCUGACGCAGCGACGCCGCGUGGAGGACGAAGGU
rnacentral:rRNA from 1 species